UGCCUCCUGGGUUCAGGCGAUUCUCCUGCCUCAGCUUCCUGAUUAUCUGGGACUACAGGCACGCACGACCACACCUAGCUAAUUUUUGUAUUUUUUAGUAGAGAUGGGCUUUCACCAUGUUGGCCAGGAUGGUCUUGAUCUCUUGACCUUGAUCUGUCCACUUUAGUCUCCCAAAGUUCUGGGAUUACAGGCGUGAGCCACCGCACCCGGCCAGAGGUAUCUCUUUUAUUCUGUGCCUUUGUAAGUGCAAAUGUCAUUUCCUUCUAUUCUUCAGCAAGCAUAGUGCCCAGUGAUGAAGCCUUUCCUAGUCCUUUGAAAGAAAAAUAGUACAACAUAGACAGGAAUGUUUCUAUAAUUAAUGUGAUUAAAAACACAAGAAGAAGAUAAUUUACCAAGGUCUUCUUGUGUAUCAUGCCCAUAAUUCUGUUCUGUCUCUUAGGAUCGUGUCAUUUAGAAGGACCCAGAACUGGAUACCAAUUGUUGUUCUACAUGGCAAUUAUAAAUAGACAAGAAUACCAUCUAAUUUCAGUUUGGGUGCUUAUCAAUGUGCAAGGUAAUAUGAAUCGAAUCAAGCCAGUAAACAAACAAGAAGACCUGUUUCCAGAGGGCUCAGAGGGUCUUCGGAUGCCAGUGAGACCCCAGCCUCAGUUGGUGUCCUGGUUCAAAAGAAUUUGGGGAUGAGUCAGGAUGAUGUGAAAGGUAAGAAGCUUUGAUUGCAAAACGAAGUACACAGUUGAGAGAGAAGUGCAGGCAUGCUGGUGAGAACAAAUCACACACAAUUAAGUUUGGGUUUUUUAUUUUAUGGGUGUUUCUUUAAUUAGGGAGUAAAUAAUCAUUCUGAAAAAGGAGAGGAUUUUGGGGACCCUCAUUACCAUCUCCUUUCUCCCUUUUACGGAUUUGCCAGGAAGAGUUAUAGAUAUGUUAACCUGACCAGGAUUUUGGCUAUUUGUUCUCUCUUCUUUUGAAUUUUUCAGUAGCCCAUUGUUUCUUUGCCUAGUUCUUGUUUUAGCUGUUGUUUGGGGUUUUCCAUCCUCCUGUGACUGCCCAGUGCUAUUCCUAUCUCAGACCCAAGUGCAUUAAGAGAUGCAAGUCAAAACCACAUUGAGAUAUCAUCUCACGCCAGUUUGGAAUGGCGAUCAUUAAAAAAUCUGGACAGGAUGUGGAGAAAUAGGAACACGUUUACACUGCUGGUGGGAGUGUAAAUUAGUUCAACCAUUGUGGAAGACAGUGUUCCUCAAGGACUUAGAAAUAGAAAUUUUAUUUGACCCAGCAAUCUCAUUAUUGGGUAUAUAUUCAAAGGAUUAUAAAUUGCUCUACUAUAAGGACACAUGCACACAAAUGUUCAUUGCAGCACUGUUUACAAUAGCAAAGACCUGGAACCAACCCAAAUGCCCAUCGAUGAUAGACUGGACUGUGAAAAUGUGGCACAUAUACACCAUGGAAUAUUAUGCAGCAAUCAGAAAUGACGAG
rnacentral:lncRNA from 1 species